UACGAGGGGUGCUAGCGUUGUCCGGAAUAACUGGGCGUAAAGGGUCCGUAGGCGUUUUGCCAAGUUGAUCGUUAAAGCCACCGGCUCAACCGGUGAUCUGCGAUCAAAACUGGCAGAAUAGAAUAUGUGAGGGGAAUGUGGAAUUCCUGGUGUAGCGGUGACAUGCGUAGAUAUCAGGAGGAACACCAAUGGCGAAGGCAGCAUUCUGGCACAAUAUUGACGCUGAGGGACGAAAGCGUGGGGAGCGAAC
rnacentral:rRNA from 1 species